AAAGAGAUUCCAUGCAGCUGACUUGUCAAACAUCUGAUAGUAGACCUGCAGCUCCUAAUUGCACAGCGUUCUAGGGCACAAGAGUGCAGGUCCAAAUGAAGAAAAACAAGAUCCUUGACUUAGGGGCAUUUAAGAUGUCUUUGGGGAGGUAAAACAAGGCAAAAAAACGGCAGGGGUUUAGCAAUGACAUGGUUCAUCCUGAUGGAUACUGAUUCAUGGACAACAAAAACAGGUUCUACUAUUUCUUCCAUCUUGAGACUGCAAGGUUAGUUUAAAAAAAAAUUAACAAUUUCAACUAACUCUCCAAUAAGGAUGUUUCUGAUUUACUCCAUAUUGUGCAACCAAAAAGAGUAAAGAAAUAAAUUGGAAGCAGAGGUUGAUGUAAAUCAGCAACUAUGCUGUUCAGCAAAACGGCCUCAGAGUUUCUACUGAUUACCUUGUUAAUAAGUACAUUUUAUAAAUUGAAAUAAUACAAUAUAACAUUUAAAAACAUCAUUUUUAUGUUUGAAUGUUAGAUUUUGGUGUAACACAUCUUUUAAAAAGGGUGCUACUAAAAAGCAUUGUGAGUUACUGAGUUAGUCCAAACUCUUCAUUUCUGUCAUCUGGGGAAAGCGAGGCGUGAGGGAGGGGUGGGGCUGGGAACGCCUGUGUUAGAAGGCACCUCUGACAAGCGUGUCCUGCCCAAGUCCUUAGAGCAAAGCUUGGUCCAGGGCAGGCAGGCUCGGGGUUCCAGUCAGCAAUGCCACUCCCAGGAGCCUCCUGUCUCCUGCCCAGAUAUGGCAGCGGCAGCUCAGCUGCUUCAGACGACAUGAUCCAGGUCUGGCCCAGGGAGAGCUGGCAGAGGCCACCCCAGCACUUUGAUGGCACAGCUUGCCAGCUGCAUGUGGUGAUACAGCUUAAUGCCCUUCAGAGCCGUGUCAGCCAAUCAACCAAGCAGCCCCUCUGGUGUGGCAAGUACUAGGGUUCAAGAAACAAAGACACACUUGGUUCCCUCAAGUAAUAAGGGUUUAUUGUGAAGGGACCUGAGAGACCAAGAACUGGGGACAACAGUUCUUGAUCCGGGCCUCGAGGUCUGGAAGGGAGGUGGCUCUGCCUCGUCUGCUAGCUGUCCCCAGGGUGCUGCCCAUGGCUUCUCAGCAAGUGGAGUUUCUCAUGUCUGCCUUUAAGGUCCCCAGCUACUCACCAGAGCUGCUUCUGUCUUCCAGCCUCUGCUUUUGCUCCACUGGGCACCCCCCUGCCCAUCAGGUGAAAGAGUGUCUCGUAUGCGUCAGAGAAGCUACAAUGCGUACCAGGCCAGAUGGUACCAAAAUGGGCUUGUCCUUAGCAGUCCUACUGUGUGGAUGCAAUCAUGUCUAAACAACUUAGGGGAUUGAUUUCCAGGUUCCUUUCGUCUGUGUCUGUCUAGAUGUCUAGAUUGUGUCGGAUAGGGUGUGGCAGAGAGGCCGUGCUAAGAGCUUGAGUUUGUAUUAGCUCUGGGGUGUAAUCUGGGCCAGCUGCUUUAGCUCCCUGGGCCUGUCCUUAGUGUGGUCAUGAGUGCACCCUGCAGGGUGGCGGAGCUGGAUUUGAGCUGUCUCAGGGCCUGGAGCACAGUGCCCAGCACAGUGCUGAACAAAUGGCAGUUCUCACUAUAGUUAAUAAAAUAAUUAGGCCCGAGAGUGGGAAGGGGCCGUCAUGGGCAGUCUGUCCCCUGCUCUGGAACAUGCUCCUGGCCUCAGGAGCCUCCUAUUUUUCUGAGGCUGCUGGUGCUCCCUUGAGGGGAAACCUGCCUAUUGGGCCCCUGUGGUUAUUGCCACUGGGGCUCAUAAUGGAAGAGGAAGCAGCGAGCUCUAAAGCCCCGAAGGGUCAGUCAUUUGGAAACAGUCACAUCUCUUUAUGGAAAGGUCCUGUCUCAGAUUGGACAGGGUUUUUCUGUUUCUUUUCUGGACCCAGACAAAGAGCAUCCUGUGGAAGGCGAGCAGCUGGCUUCCUCUGAGCAGCCUUGGGUGGGUGAAGCUUUCUGCCCACAGCCAGGGCUGGUCAUCAGAGCCAGAGGAGCAUUUCCACAACAGAAAGGUUCCUAGGGGCAAAGUCCUGUCUGGGGCAAGCCUUGUGGGGCCUGCAGGCUUUCCCGGGGUACUAUGCACUAAUCUUACCACCCACGGUGGUGCCUAUUAAACCUCAAAUUAGGCCAGAUUUCCAGAUCGCUUGAAAAAUCCACAGAUCUGGGCUCAGUGGCCCACGGGCUUGUAUGGCAAUGAUCUUGAGCCAAGGAGCAGCCGCUGCCCCAGAGGCUCCUCUGCAGGAGGGAGAAGACACCGGGAUAAGCAAAGACAGGGCAGCCCAGGACCCUAGGGAGUCCAGGGCUCAGGAGGCUACAGAGAUUGCCUCAGAGCUGACACCGCACUGGAGAGAAAAACCAGAGGCUGAAGAGGGCGACAGAUGCAGGGCUCCACUCCAGGCUGGGGCAGGGCACGGAAGGCAGAUCAGGGGAAUCUGCCUGGAGAACAGACAUGUGGCACAGGCCUCAAAGGAUGCACUGGACUGUUUUCCCAUAAUGAAAAUAGCUUUAUUUGAUUUUUCUCAUUAUAAUGAUAAUACAUAGAAAUGUUAAGCAAUACAAAAUGGUAUUAAAAAUUAAAGGUAAUGCAAACUUCCAUCUCUAGAGGUGAUCAUAGUUAUUAACAAUUCAAUCAACAUCCUUCCCAUAUGUAAAGUUUUAUAUAAAUGUGGAUAUCAUGCAAUUCUAUAACCUGCUUUUUUCACUCAAAAAUAUGAGUUUUUCUUGUCAAUGAAUAUAGCUAUAUAUUGUCAAUGGCUGUAGAAUAUUCAAUGGUGUAACUGUACCAUAAUUCACUUAAUCUCCUCCUGAUGGACAUUUCAAUUGGUUUCCAUUUUUGCAACUGUAAACAGUGCUAUGAUGGGCAUUUCUGGUUGGUCAUCUUCAAGGAUUUGGUUUCUAAAAGCACCUAUGGGUUCCUCAGUGAAUGGUCUGACACAGGCAAAUGCCCCCCAUCUCCUUACCCUUACACUCCCGUCUAGGGCAUUGGAAAACACCCGCUUCAGACAGGUGUAAUUCUGAGACUGCAAAUGGGGAAGGGAGAAAGGGUGCUUAAGGUACAAAGCCCAGCAUUAACCCAGGCUCCAAGGGCCACACAGGAGUGAGAAGCAGCACAUUUGCAGUCAGUUUCCAGGAGGUGUUGGCACUGUUGAGAAGGACUGGGAGAUAAAAAG